GUGGCCUUAUCAUAAAUGGAUAAUGACCCAUGCUGUGAACAUGGUCUAUACGGGUUCGAUUCCCGUAGGUCACCCCA
rnacentral:tRNA from 15 species